UACGUAGGGUGCAAGCGUUGUCCGGAAUUAUUGGGCGUAAAGAGCUCGUAGGCGGUUUGUUGCGUCGGCUGUGAAAUCCCGAGGCUCAACCUCGGGUCUGCAGUCGAUACGAGCAAACUAGAGUGUUGCAGGGGAGACUGGAAUUCCUGGUGUAGCGGUGAAAUGCGCAGAUAUCAGGAGGAACACCGGUGGCGAAGGCGGGUCUCUGGGCAGUAACUGACGCUGAGGAGCGAAAGCCGUGGGGAGCGAACAGG
rnacentral:rRNA from 1 species